UACGAAGGGGGCUAGCGUUGUUCGGAUUAACUGGGCGUAAAGCGCGCGUAGGCGGGUUUUUAAGUCAGGGGUGAAAUCCCAAGGCUCAACCUUGGAACUGCCUUUGAUACUGGAAAUCUUGAGUCCGGGAGAGGUGAGUGGAACUGCGAGUGUAGAGGUGAAAUUCGUAGAUAUUCGCAAGAACACCAGUGGCGAAGGCGGCUCACUGGCCCGGUACUGGACGCUGAGGUGGCGAAAG
rnacentral:rRNA from 1 species